rnacentral:rRNA from 1 species
AAUCAACGCUGGCGGCGUGCCUAACACAUGCAAGUCGAACGCGACUGGGGCUUCGGCCUCAGUUGAGUGGCGAACGGGUGAGUAACACGUGGGUGACCUACCUUCGAAUGGGGGAGUAACGUCCCGAAACGGGAACGCUAAUACCGCAUAACAUCCCGCCUUUGAACAGGCGGAGAUCAAAGCCGGGGAGUCGCAAGACCUGGCGUUUGAAGAGGGGCCCGGCGUCCGAUUAGCUAGUUGGUGAGGUAACGG